AAAUUGAAGAGUUUGAUCAUGGCUCAGAUUGAACGCUGGCGGCAGGCCUAACACAUGCAAGUCGAACGGUAACAGGAAGCAGCUUGCUGCUUCGCUGACAAGUGGCGGACGGGUGAGUAAUGUCUGGGAAACUGCCUGAUGGAGGGGGAUAACUACUGGAAACGGUGGCUAAUACCGCAUGACGUCGCAAGACCAAAGAGGGGGACCUUCGGGCCUCUUGCCAUCAGAUGUGCCCAGAUGGGAUUAGCUUGUUGGUGAGGUAACGGCUCACCAAGGCGACGAUCCCUAGCUGGUCUGAGAGGAUGACCAGCCACACUGGAACUGAGACACGGUCCAGACUCCUACGGGAGGCAGCAGUGGGGAAUAUUGCACAAUGGGCGCAAGCCUGAUGCAGCCAUGCCGCGUGUAUGAAGAAGGCCUU
rnacentral:rRNA from 1 species